rnacentral:rRNA from 1 species
AUACAGAGGGUGCAAGCGUUAUUCGGAAUUACUGGGCGUAAAGCGCGCGUAGGCGGAUGAUUAAGUCAGUUGUGAAAGCCCUGGGCUCAACCUAGGAACUGCAUCUGAUACUGGUCGUCUAGAGUUUAAGAGAGGGAAGUGGAAUUCCAGGUGUAGCAGUGAAAUGCGUAGAUGUCUGGAGGAACAUCAGUGGCGAAGGCGACUUCCUGGCUUAAAACUGACGCUGAGGUGCGAAAGCGUGGGUAGCGAACGGGAUUAGAAACCCCAGUAGUCC